GAAUGCUGCUACCGUUUCCCACUUCUGUUGGUGUCUGGUCAGUAGUAGCCCCCCAACCCACCGACUCUUUAGGCUCGGAGCCAGUGCUACCCAGCAGAGAUGCAAGACAUCAUUAUUAUCAUUGACGAACACAGAAUAUUAUAUUUCGACACGGAGGCAUCUUUCGUCUGGAUGCUGGACUGGGAAUGAGGUUGUCUGCUCGUUCAUCAGACCCCGUGAGCAGCUGUCAGAGGAUGCGUCCGAUCCUGAUAAUCCGCUAAUUCAUCCCGCCUGCCUCACCAUCCGACCCACCCACCCCUCUGGCAGAUCUACUUGGACUAUAAACAUGCCAGACCGCUAACCCAAACAGAGCAGGCCGCCAAGAAACAUUUUAGGGGAAACGGUUUAGAAAAUCACCAGCGCAUCCAAGGCAGGGUGCCUGGUGCGUCUGUGUGUGUCACCCACACACACCCACACACACACGCAGGCUACCACUGGGCACACAGCUGGUCUGUAAAUCUCACACCUCUGGUUGUAAAAAAACAAUAUCGACAACAUUUGUGGUUAUGGCAUGUUGGAAGUGACGUGUUACUGGGACAAACCAGUUAGGGUACUGGUCCAGUUGGGACUUUCUGUAGUAAGAUACCCAUGUGGGUCUGCAGUUUGGUGAUGAUAAAAAUUUGGGAGAGGGUGCAAACAGAGGGUGCGGUGUGUCAGAGAGGCAGUGAGGAAAAGCAGCUUCACUGGCUGCAUGACUGUUGCCUUUUAUUUAGUGUGUGACAUGACUCAGGGUCUGUCUCUGGGUCAGGAGGAUCAGUGCGGGGGGGGGGGAGCUUGGCUGCUUGGGCUGCUGGGAGCCAUGUGUUUUCUUAGCUUUGCACUUUAUUAGGUAUGGCAGUUCACAUAGCCAUGGAGUCGCUUCCACUCGUAUGCUUUGUGAGGUUUUCACCUGGGCAGCCGAACAAGAUGGCGGAUGGGAGAGUAUUCUGAAUGUAAAUGUGCGGGGUGGAGUGGACGCCGGGGUUGCCCCAUGUAGACCGGAGCGGGACGGGAGCACGGCGGGCAGCUGGCUUGGAUCUGUCCACGGUUUAUAGAGCACCCACGGUCUGGGGGCAGCGGCCGGACCUCCCCUCGCAGACGAGGAAAGCCGAAAGGAGGCGCAGGAAAGGAGGGUGGCCUUCAAAUCUCCUCAGACACAUUCCUGGGAUUUUCGGAGCGAUAGCGGCCUGGAUGCUGCGGACCUGUUGUUGCCGCUGACGGCGGGCAGACAGGCUCCUCGUUUGGCACCCGAGCGCGAAAGCCGGCUACCCUAAAGCCAGGAACCACGCCCCUGUCAGUGCCUGGUGCCCAGGUCGUGACGAAGACCAUGCCCCCCCCCUCCCCAGCUGCCUACAUCGCGGAACCGGUUCCGAGCGGAUGCUGGAACUGCUGACAUGUUGCUAGGAGAUGCCAGGUUCGAGCGGAGAUUCCCAAUCCCCACGGACUGCCCAGGGGAAGCCAGUUUAUUCCCAUGCUUUUAAAUUCCCUUCUGUGGAGAUUAAAGGACUGACAGGCUGGCUGCCCGGUGGCAUGUGUCAGUAGGCCUGAGACCCAGACUGGAAACACCGUUUACCAAAGAUCCCUCAUUAACCAAUGACAGCCGAUAGGCAAAGAUGCUAACAGCAUUAGCGUUCUUUGUAGGGCUUGCUUACGGAAAUUAGCAUGUCUAAAAAUACAUCCUUUCUCAGUGCAUAUCUUCCUGAACACCUGGGUGUGUUAUUUUUAUACUCAGAAUGGGGAUUGCAGAUGUACGUCCACGUGGCAGAGUGCGAGGCAGCCGGAGAUGGUCAGGACGCGGCCUGCUCAAUUCUCUAGCUCAAACUCCCCCUGACACAGU